UAGCACUAUCAGAAAGAUAACGAAAAAUUUCAAAACUUGGAAAAGCUCACACACACGUUGGCUCAAAUAACAUGGAAUCAAUUUCCUAUAGAAUACAAAAGCAGUGAGCCGGUCGGCAACGAAAACGGAAAUCCGAAAAGAGUAAUCAAAUAAUCCGAACAACACACAUAAACAUCAUGCCGCCCAUCUUUCCAACAACUACCACCAUCA
ensembl:ncRNA F56D1.11 ncRNA